CGGCACGUCGGGCACAGCCGCGGUGGGAUGUAGGAGGGGGCAAGGGGUAAUCGUAAUGACUGGGUGUAAAGCGUGCUCGGGCGGUUAUGUCAGUAAGAGGUGAAAUCCCUAGGCGCAACCUAGGAAGUGCAUUGGAAAGUAAUAAACUAGAGUAUCGUAGAGGGAGGUAGAAUUCCAGGUGUAGCGGUGAAAUGCGUAGAUAUCUGGAGGAAUACCAGUGGCGAAGGCGACCUCCUGGACGAAAACUGACGCUCAAGCACGAAAGCAUGGGGAGCAAACAGGAUUAGAUACCCGUGUAGUC
rnacentral:rRNA from 1 species